rnacentral:rRNA from 1 species
UACGGAGGGGGUUAGCGUUGUUCGGAAUUACUGGGCGUAAAGCGCGCGUAGGCGGACCAGAAAGUUGGGGGUGAAAUCCCGGGGCUCAACCCCGGAACGGCCUCCAAAACUCCUGGUCUUGAGUUCGAGAGAGGUGAGUGGAAUUCCGAGUGUAGAGGUGAAAUUCGUAGAUAUUCGGAGGAACACCAGCGGCGAAGGCGGCUCACUGGCUCGAUACUGACGCUGAGGUGCGAAAGUGUGGGGAGCAAACAGG